rnacentral:rRNA from 1 species
UACGUAGGGGGCAAGCGUUGUCCGGAAUCAUUGGGCGUAAAGCGCGUGUAGGCGGCCAGGUAGGUCGGUUGUGAAAACUAGAGGCUCAACCUCUAGACGUCGACCGAAACCAUCUGGCUAGAGUCCGGAAGAGGAGAGUGGAAUUCCUGGUGUAGCGGUGAAAUGCGCAGAUAUCAGGAAGAACACCCGUGGCGAAGGCGGCUCUCUGGGACGGUACUGACGCUGAGACGCGAAAGCGUGGGGAGCGAACAGG